GAUGAACGCUGGCGGCGUGCUAAUACAUGCAAGUCGAACGCUUUGUGGUUCAACUGAUUUGAAGAGCUUGCUCAGAUAUGACGAUGGACAUUGCAAAGAGUGGCGAACGGGUGAGUAACACGUGGGAAACCUACCUCUUAGCAGGGGAUAACAUUUGGAAACAGAUGCUAAUACCGUAUAACAAUGACAACCGCAUGGUUGUUAUUUAAAAGAUGGUUCUGCUAUCACUAAGAGAUGGUCCCGCGGUGCAUUAGCUAGUUGGUAAGGUAAUGGCUUACCAAGGCGAUGAUGCAUAGCCGAGUUGAGAGACUGAUCGGCCACAAUGGGACUGAGACACGGCCCAUACUCCUACGGGAGGCAGCAGUAGGGAAUCUUCCACAAUGGGCGAAAGCCUGAUGGAGCAACGCCGCGUGUGUGAUGAAGGGUUUCGGCUCGUAAAACACUGUUGUAAGAGAAGAAUGACAUUGAGAGUAACUGUUCAAUGUGUGACGGUAUCUUACCAGAAAGGAACGGCUAAAUACGUGCCAGCAGCCGCGGUAAUACGUAUGUUCCAAGCGUUAUCCGGAUUUAUUGGGCGUAAAGCGAGCGCAGACGGUUAUUUAAGUCUGAAGUGAAAGCCCUCAGCUCAACUGAGGAAUUGCUUUGGAAACUGGAUGACUUGAGUGCAGUAGAGGAAAGUGGAACUCCAUGUGUAGCGGUGAAAUGCGUAGAUAUAUGGAAGAACACCAGUGGCGAAGGCGGCUUUCUGGACUGUAACUGACGUUGAGGCUCGAAAGUGUGGGUAGCAAACAGGAUUAGAUACCCUGGUAGUCCACACCGUAAACGAUGAGUGCUAGGUGUUUGAGGGUUUCCGCCCUUAAGUGCCGCAGCUAACGCAUUAAGCACUCCGC
rnacentral:rRNA from 1 species